rnacentral:rRNA from 1 species
UACGGGGGGGGCAAGCGUUGUUCGGAAUUACUGGGCGUAAAGGGCUCGUAGGCGGCCAACUAAGUCAGACGUGAAAUCUCCCGGCUCAACUGGGAGGGGUCAUUCGAUACUGGCGGGCUCGAGGCCGGUAGGGGGAAGUGGAAUUCCCGGUGUAGUGGUGGAAUGCGUAGAUAUCGGGAGGAACACCAGUGGCGAAGGCGGCUUCCUGGACCGGUUCUGACACUGAGGAGCGAAAGCGUGGGGAGCGAUCCGG